rnacentral:rRNA from 1 species
CAUGCAUGUGUAAGUAUAAGCGAUUGUACUGUGAGACUGCGAACGGCUCAUUAUAUCAGUAAUAAUUUCUUCGGUAGUUUCUUUUAUAUGGAUACCUGCAGUAAUUCUGGAAAUAAUACAUGCUGUAAGAGCCCUGUAUGGGGCUGCACUUAUUAGAUUGAAGCCGAUUUUAUUGGUGAAUCAUGAUAAUUGAGCAGAUUGACUUUUUUGGUCGAUGAAUCGUUUGAGUUUCUGCCCCAUCAGUUGUCGACGGUAGUGUAUUGGACUACGGGGACUAUAACGGGGGACGGAAAGUUAGGGCUCGACUCCGGAAAGGGAGCCUGAAAGACGGCUACCAUAUCCAAGGAUAGCAGCAGGGGCGUAAAUUACCCACUGGGGACUCCACGAGGUAGUGACAAAAAAUAUCGAUGCGAAGCGGGUAUGCGUUUUGCUAUCGGAAUGAAAGCAAUGUAAAACCCUCAUCGAGGAUCAACUGGAGGGCAAGUCUGGGGCCAGCAGCCGCGGUAAUUCCAGCUCCAAAAGCAUAUGCUAAAGUUGUUGCAGUUAAAAAGCUCGUAGUU